rnacentral:rRNA from 1 species
UACGGGAGGCAGCAGUGAGGAAUAUUGGGCAAUGGGCGAAAGCCUGACCCAGCAACGCCGCGUGAAGGAAGAAGGUCUUCGGAUUGUAAACUUCUUUUAUGAGGGACGAAGGACGUGACGGUACCUCAUGAAUAAGCCACGGCUAACUACGUGCCAGCAGCCGCGGUAAU